AGAACGAACGCUGGCGGCAGGCUUAACACGUGCAAGUCGAGCGCCGUAGCAAUACGGAGCGGCAGACGGGUGAGUAACGCGUGGGAACAUACCCUCCGGUUCGGAAUAACUCAGGGAAACUUGAGCUAAUACCGGAUACGGCAUCGGAGAGAGAUCUCGGCGGCGAAAGAUUUAUCGGCUAAGGAUGGACUCGCGGCCUAUCAGCUAGUUGGUGGGGUAGAAGCCUACCAAGGCGACGACGGGUA
rnacentral:rRNA from 1 species